UACGUAGGGGGCGAGCGUUGUCCGGAAUUAUUGGGCGUAAAGAGCGUGUAGGCUGUUCGGUAAGUCUGCCGUGAAAACCUGAGGCUCAACCUCGGGCGUGCGGUGGAUACUGCCGGGCUAGAGGACGGUAGAGGCGAGUGGAAUUCCCGGUGUAGCGGUGAAAUGCGCAGAUAUCGGGAGGAACACCAGUAGCGAAGGCGGCUCACUGGACCGGUACUGACGCUGAGGCGCGAAAGCGUGGGGA
rnacentral:rRNA from 1 species